AUGGACUCCGCCCGGAGCUGGCUCCAGAAGCUGCAGAAGGACAAGGCCAGGCCGGGCGCGUCGCCCCUCGGCGCCGGGAUGGCCGGGGACGACGAGGACGAGCCGGUGCUGUCCAGCGCCACCAAGCAGAAGGUUGAGGCCGCCAAGCAGUGCAUCGAGAACCACUACAAGGCGCAGAUGAGGUCGCUCCAGGAGCGCAAGGAGAGGCGUUGGAUGCUGGAGAAGAAGCUUGCUGAUGCUGAUGUGAGACUUUGUAGAGAAAAAGCUACAUCCAAUGUAUAUGCAAUGAAAAAGCUCAAGAAGUCUGAAAUGUUACGAAGAGGCCAGGUUGAGCAUGUGAGAGCUGAAAGGAACCUCCUUGCAGAAGUUGAUAGUGCUUAUAUAGUUAUGCUCUACUGCUCAUUCCAAGAUGACGAGUUUCUUUACCUCGUUAUGGAGUACCUUCCUGGUGGUGACAUGAUGACUCUGCUCAUGCGCAAGGAUACACUUACAGAGGACGAGUCUUCAUUUUAUGUUGCAGAGACAAUACUAGCAAUUGAAUCCAUUCACAAGCAUAACUAUAUUCAUAGGGACAUCAAGCCUGACAAUUUCAGUAACAGUCGACACCGAUCUCUCACGGCCAUUCCAGAGAAAUGUGGCCAAGGGUAA
rnacentral:rRNA from 1 species